rnacentral:lncRNA from 1 species
CAAACACUCUCCUCUUUUUUUUUCUCCACAAUUUCGGGAUUACGAUCUUGUCUCAUCGCUGCAACUCCCCAACUGGCUCUCGGGAGAGGCGAAGGUCGAGUCAUGUGACCUCCGGAAACAACGCGAUUCUUAACACCAGCCCCGCUUAAUCCAGAAGCCAGCUGCACCACUGUGUCGGACGAAACACUGUUCAACUGACGACCAGGUUCAGCCUGCUGGCGCCCUGCCCGCCACAAGGAGUCGCUAGAGCGCGAUGAGCCAAUUAGAGUGUAGGGGGGCGGCAGGUAGCCUAGUGGUUAGACUGGAGGGGCGGCAGGUAGCCUAGUGGUUAGAGUGGAGGGGCGGCAGGUAGCCUAGUGGUUAGAGUGUAGGGGCGGCAGGUAGCCAAGUGGUUAGAGUGGAGGGGCGGCAGGUAGCCUAGUGGUUAGAGUGGAGGGGCGGCAGGUAGCCUAGUGGUUAGAGUGGAGGGGCGGCAGGUAGCCUAGUGGUUAGAGUGGAGGGGCGGCAGGUAGCCUAGUGGUUAGAGUGGAGGGGCGGCAGGUAGCCUAGUGGUUAGAGUGGAGGGGCGGCAGGUAGCCUAGUGGUUAGAGUGGAGGGGCGGCAGGUAGCGAAGUGGUUAGAGUGGAGGGGCGGCAGGUAGCCUAGUGGUUAGAGUGUAGGGGCGGCAGGUAGCCUAGUGGUUAGAGUGUUGUGCCAGUCAUCCAAAGGUUUACUGGCUCUAGACACCACCCUGCAGAUUGACUGUCGCCUCUAAAGUCAGCAGUUCAUGGAGAUUGGAGAGGAUCCUCCUCUUCAGGGAGAUUGGAGAAGGGCCUCCUCUUCAGGGAGAUUGGAGAAGGGCCUCCUCUUCAGGGAGA